rnacentral:tmRNA from 2 species
GGGGCCGAUUUGGAUUCGACGCCGGUGACGAAACUCAAGGUGCAUGUCGUGAUGGCAGCCAAUCACGUUAAUCCAAAGCUGCAACUUAAUAGUUGCCAACGACGACAACUACGCUCUAGCAGCCUAAGAACCUGCUAGCGGUCAAUAGCAAGGUGCCAGUACCGCGUUAUUGACUGUCAAAUAGAACUGGAUCGCGGUGAAGUUCGCCUGUGGCGGAUCCGUUAAAACCUAAACAGGAUCGCGUCUUACGUCCUGCCCGUUGGGCUGUAAGAGGCUAAAUCAAUAAACGGAAACUAAGCAUGUAGAGCCAAGAGCGGAGUAUCGGCGGACGGGGGUUCAACUCCCCCCGGCUCCACCA